rnacentral:rRNA from 1 species
GACGAACGCUGGCGGCGUGCUUAACACAUGCAAGUCGAACGGAAAGGCCAUGAUUUUGUGGGGUGCUCGAGUGGCGAACGGGUGUGUAAAACGUGAGUAUCCUGCCCUUGACUGUGGGAUAACUUCAGGAAACUGGGGCUAAUACAGGGAAGGAGCUAUUGCUGCAUGGGGGGGGUUGGAAAGUUUCGGCGGUUGGGGCUGGACUCGCGGCUUAUCAGCUUGUUGGGGGGGUAGUUGCUGAAAAAGGCUUUGACGGGUAGCCGGCCUGAGAGGGUGAACGGCGUCCAGGGUCCUACGGUAGGCCCCAGACGCCUACCGUCGGCAGUAGUGGAGAACCUUGCACAACGGGGCGACGCCUGUUGCAGCAGCGCUCCGUGCGGGAUGAUGGCUUUCGGGUUGUAAACCGCUUUCUCCUGUUCUGAGCCCUGCGUGACGGUAACGGAUAAAGAAGCACCGGCUAACUACGUG